AGUGAGAGGGCUUGGGGUAAGGAGGCUAAGGAAAAAAAAAAGCUCCCAGUUAUAUAACGAUUUAAAAUUAGGUGACUUUUGCUGGGGAGAUUCCGAGAUUUCCUCUUGCGCUAGGUCGGUUGGUAAAAGAUUCUCAAACUUUUUUUCCGUAAGAGCCAAUAAACAAACAGGCGCCCCGGGUGCUGACUUCAACUCUUAUAGAGGGCUGGCGCUUGCUGGGAUUCUGACUCUGAGAAAUGCACACCCCUGCGGCGCUGGCGGUGAAGUCCCUCGGAAACGAGGCGGUUCCCUUUCAGCCUUAGGACUCCUCGGGCUUUCCCGGCGGGAGAACGUCUCUUACCAUCGCCGCCCCCUGGCUCCUCUCGGGCAUUUUAGAGCACUGGCGGGCUGGGAUCAAGCUGCCCAUCGCCCGCGGCCUCGGGAACUUGCAUUUGCAUUUUGGGCGCGGCGCUCCUGCCACAGUGCUGGGUUAAGGACCUCUAAGGGAUUCGGGAUCCCGGGGACGCUUCGGGUUGAAUCUUGCGGGGCAACCUGUCGGCGCUGCCCGGAUGGACCGGUUUUCCCUCCGUGGGCAUCUCGAUGCUUCGGCACCUCCCGGGCGUGAGCUGAAAGCGAGCUUGCAGUACCCAAGCCUAGGGCGAGGGGAGACUGGCCGGGGUCUGCUUGUGACACUCGGAGCGCAGAGAGAAAACAAAAGAAACCUGGAACCCGGAGUCAUUGCGGCGUCUCUGCUUGCCCGCCCUGAGGAGGAGCCGGCGCGGAGCGUCGGAGCUUCUUGGCCAGCCUCCGCUCCGGGGAAUUAGAACGAACUCUAGCGGCGGUUUGCGACUCAGCUCUGGGCGCGAGGGCAGCAACAGAAGCUGAGAAAGAUUGUAUGCAAAGGAGGUUCUCUGUUGCUGAGAUGGAGGUUUCAUGUGGCCGGGACCUGAGAGCCGGCUCUAGAAGCUGAGAGCAGUCCCCGGUGGGCAGUUGACAAGACAGCGGGGACCACUGUUGUACAACCAUAAGGAACUGAAUUCUGCCACUAACCACGGAGCUUGGAGGAAUACCCUGCCACCCAGACCAGGACAGCACUCCCGGCUGACAGCUUGAUUUCGCCCAGUGAGGCCCUGGGCAGAAAACCCAGUCGCACCAUGCCCAGACUUCCAGUCUACAGACGGUGCGGUUGCCAGUUUCUUCAGCUCCAAAGUCUUGUGCAUAGGAAGCAACAGAAAACCCAGGGGAAUCCCUGCUACCUCGUUCCUCCGAUCCUGAGUUCCUGCACCGGGCUGCCUUCUUCUCACCAUCUUUCAGAGCCUUUCUAUGUCUGUUUUACUUAAGUUGUGCAGAGAUUUUUGUUGCACCUAGCAGAAGAAACAGAGAACAGUGUGUCUACUCCGUCUUCUCCAAAGCGGAAGUCUUAAAUGGUGGAAUUUUAAAGACAUUUCCAGAGGUUUAUCGUGAGGACUUCCCUCCUGGAGGACAGUGAUUAUCCUUCUAUUGCCCUUAUACAGGACUCUGGGCCGGCCAUCCUUAGGAAGGAACUAGGUGCCGGGGGACAUCCUGGCUGGAAGACCUGCCUUUAAUGUACUCGGAAUCUUUAAAGGGUCGUAACUCAUUUCCCUUUUAGAGAAACCAAGGAGACGUCUCCAUCUGCCCUCGUGGACACAGCUUGCUGCCGGGCUCGAACCCCAGUCCUGUCAUGACAGUGUGAAGCUUCGAGUGCGGUCGCCAUGAUGACGGCACCGAGGAAAGGGCCAGGAGAAGCAUCCUGCUGUGUGCCCUUGGGCAGUGCAUGUCAGCUCUCUGGGCCUCCGCUUCUCCAUUGCAAAUGCAGGAGCAAUGGGCCUGGAGCACAUCAGGGUUUCCAGCUUCGACCAUUCAUAGAGCACCGGCUUGAGUUUCCUAUGGCAGGAGCUCCUGCUUUUUAGUUUGCUUCUCCGUGAUCGACUCACAGGAAACUUCAUGUUGCUGUGGGACGCGUGCCCCUCAGCAGGAGGGUGGCCGUGCUGGCCAGGUGCACCCACAACCAGGUGUCCUCGGAAGUCUCAACCUUCGUCUGAAGGGGACGGUCACUUGGGCUCAUAAAUUCAAGGUGCUCGCUACCUAUGCCCUAACGGAGAAUCUAACAAAACGUGUCCUCCUGGCCAUGUGCCCGUCACAAAGACGUUCCGAGUACAGACGCCCCAAGCUCUGCAAUGUGGUGGUAUCGCCCCCUCCUCAGACUGUGGACAGCACACCCGUGGUUGGUUCAUUUGAAAUUUUCUAACCAUGCCCUUCCUUUCUCCCUCCAGGUCUAGGGCACUUAAUUUAAAAAAAAAAAAAACAACCAACAACCCUCCCUUAUUCCUACACGUUUUGGAGCAUUUAACAUCAUAGCCUCCCCGUGAACACCCUGUCUGCUCCCCGUCCCCUGCGACAGAAUGCUGCCUGCCUGCAUAGCUCCUCGUUAAGUGCAAGUGAGUGGAAACUCAUCUCCUUCGGAUACUUCUGCGAACUCCGUGACACUCACGAUGGAUGGCGUUGUAAACCAGCCAGCCCCUCUUGGACUCCCUCCUGGUACCUGACUCUGGGCAGUGCCUGGGGAGGUGACUGUCCCCUCGGGGGGCCGGACUUCCCACUGACAGCGGAUGGCUCCCUGGAGGGCUGGGAAGGCACAUCCCAGCUGGGACCGAGUGUAGGACUCUGGUUCCUUCAUCGAACUCAUCCACUCCCUGUCUAAAAUGCACAAUUAUAACUCUGGAUGGUGCCAGGUGUAUACUAGACUCACCGGAGCGAUCCCUUUGUGAAGUAUAUAAAUGUCUAAUCACUCUGUUGUGCCCCUGAAGCUAAUAUAAUAUUGUAUGUCCACUGUAAUUGAAACAAAUUUUAAAAAGUAAGCAUCUACUCAGGUCUGGAAAUAAAAUCACGGUUAGUUUAAGUUGCAAAUAAUAACAAUUAAGGAUUGAGGCAAAGUUGUUAUAAAAUAUCUUUUUAUGUUUUGCUCUGUUGUUUUAAAAUGUAAUGUUCCUUUGUGAUACCUUCCUAGUUGAUUUCAAAAAUAUUAUAUAUAAUUUUCACAAAAUAAAAAUAAAAAGGAAGGUCC